GAAAUGUUUGGGAGGAGUCACAGCAGCAAGAGACACUGCUCUGGAGCUGUUUGCUGGAACCAACAGAUACAGGAAGAGUUUGUAAUGCGGAAGCAAAAAGAAAAAAGAUCUUCAUUAUACAUCUGCUCAUCAGCAGAACAAAUUCCCAUGGCUCUCUGUUCUAAUCAGGAGGAAGUAAUCUUCCUUUCUCACCUGACUGGUUCUCCAACUUGGCUCUUGAAGCUGACAGCUCUCCAACCCCUCCCUCCAGGAUGUGAUCUAUAAGAUUGGAA
rnacentral:lncRNA from 1 species